UACGUAGGGUGCAAGCGUUGUCCGGAAUUAUUGGGCGUAAAGAGCUCGUAGGCGGUCUGUCGCGUCGGCUGUGAAAACUCGGGGCUCAACUCCGAGCUUGCAGUCGAUACGGGCAGGCUAGAGUGCGGCAGGGGAGACUGGAAUUCCUGGUGUAGCGGUGAAAUGCGCAGAUAUCAGGAGGAACACCGGUGGCGAAGGCGGGUCUCUGGGCCGAUACUGACGCUGAGGAGCGAAAGCGUGGGGAGCGAACAGG
rnacentral:rRNA from 1 species